UCUAGAGAUUUGGCGGACGGGUGAGUAACACGUGAGGAACCUGCCCCGAAGACCGGGAUAACUCUCCGAAAGGAGCGCUAAUACCGGAUACCCCCACCUAACCGCAUGGUCUGGUGAGGAAAUGGAUUCCGCUUCGGGAGGGCCUCGCGGCCUAUCAGCUAGUUGGCGGGGUAACGGCCCACCAAGGCAUCGACGGGUAGCUGGUCUGAGAGGACGAUCAGCCACACUGGGACUGAGACACGGCCCAGACUCCUACGGGAGGCAGCAGUGGGGAAUCUUGCGCAAUGGGCGAAAGCCUGACGCAGCAACGCCGCGUGGGGGAUGAAGGCUCUCGGGUUGUAAACCCCUUUCAGCAGGGACGAAUCAAGACGGUACCUGCAGAAGAAGCCCCGGCUAACUACGUGCCAGCAGCCGCGGUAAUAAUCGUCGAC
rnacentral:rRNA from 1 species